GGGUGAGUAAAGUAUCGGAACGUGCCCAGUCGUGGGGGAUAACGCAGCGAAAGUUGUGCUAAUACCGCAUACGAUCUAUGGAUGAAAGCGGGGGAUCGCAAGACCUCGCGCGAUUGGAGCGGCCGAUAUCAGAUUAGCUAGUUGGUGGGGUAAAGGCUCACCAAGGCGACGAUCUGUAGCUGGUCUGAGAGGACGACCAGCCACACUGGGACUGAGACACGGCCCAGACUCCUACGGGAGGCAGCAGUGGGGAAUUUUGGACAAUGGGCGCAAGCCUGAUCCAGCAAUGCCGCGUGCAGGAAGAAGGCCUUCGGGUUGUAAACUGCUUUUGUACGGAACGAAACGGUCUGGGUUAAUACCCUGGACUAAUGACGGUACCGUAAGAAUAAGCACCGGCUA
rnacentral:rRNA from 1 species